ensembl:snRNA U6 U6 spliceosomal RNA
AUGCUUGGGCAGCACAGCACAGGUACUAAAAUUGGAAUGAUGUAGAGAAGAGUAGCAUGGCCCCUGUACAAGCUUGAUACAGAAAUUCGUGAAGCGUUCCAUAAUUUU